rnacentral:rRNA from 1 species
GACGAACGCUGGCGGCGUGCUUAACACAUGCAAGUCGAACGGAAAGGCCCUGCUUUUGUGGGGUGCUCGAGUGGCGAACGGGUGAGUAACACGUGAGUAACCUGCCCUCGACUUUGGGAUAACUUCAGGAAACUGGGGCUAAUACCGGAUAGGAGCUCCUGCUGCAUGGUGGGGGUUGGAAAGUUUCGGCGGUUGGGGAUGGACUCGCGGCUUAUCAGCUUGUUGGUGGGGUAGUGGCUUAUCAAGGCUUUGCCGGGUAUCCGGCCUGAGAGGGUGACCGGCCACAAUGGGACUGAGAUAGGGCCCAGUAGCCUACGGGAGGCAGCAGUGGGGAGUAUUGCACAACGGGCGGAAGCCAGAUGCAGCAACGCCGCGUGCGGGAUGACGGGCUUCGGGUUGUAAACCGCUUUCGCCGGUGACGAAGCGGGAGUGACGGUAAUGGGUAAAGAAGCACCGGCUAACUACGUG